GGAGAGGCGGUGGCUGAGAGGUACAGCAUCUGCUUGGCAUGCAGAAGGUGCCAAGUUCAAUCUCCGGCAUUUCCA
rnacentral:tRNA from 1 species